ACGUAAGGGUCGUCAAAAAGGAAAGUAGAUAUAAAGGUCACGUUUAAUACAUUCUGAAAUAUACUUUGGCAAGAAGCACUAAGAACUUAUCAAAACACAGUCAAUCGAGGCAAAACGAAGCUCUCUGAAGCGAUAAGCCUUUUUUCAGGAUUUAUGGGGUUCAGGUUUUUCAAGCGAACUAACAGCACAAGCCAACCCCAGCCGAGGAGACGAUCCUUAAGCUUUAGUUUCCGUCGAAGAAGCCGUCAUGGCAGAGAAGAACAGAGUACAGAGAAUGGAAACACUUUAUCAGUUCGGCAGCGAACAAACUCCGAGAAGAGGAGAUCUAGAGAAGUUGGCGAAGCUUUGCGAGCUAUCGGCGAUGGUCUCAACAACAGCACGUUGAGUCUUCACACUGCAACGUAGUGGAUUAGUGGACGAGUGGAAAUAGAUUAAAAAGGAAAUACUUUGCGGCCUUUAUCGCCAGCUUUUGCAGUAUUGAGUAAACCAAGUGAUGAAAGAUCUAGUGCGGUGCAGCAAGCAGAAUUUUUACAAGCAUUGAAAGUAGAAACAUGGACGAAAAAGCAAACAGAAGCUUGUACUGAAAUGGCCGCUUUGCCUAAAAUGUUUAUCGGAAUUGAUGUUGUAAAAAGUAAUUUAUUGUGAAAAGACACAUAGUGGAUUUGAAAAUGCUUUAUUUAUUGUAUUUAUGGUAAAAAAGUGAAAUUAAACGUGUGGCAAUUCAGCAUACGUGUCAUUAAUUAAA